UACAGAGGGUGCAAGCGUUAAUCGGAAUUACUGGGCGUAAAGCGUGCGCAGGCGGUUUUGUAAGUCUGUCGUGAAAUCCCCGGGCUCAACCUGGGAAUGGCGAUGGAGACUGCAAGGCUAGAAUCUGGCAGAGGGGGGUAGAAUUCCACGUGUAGCAGUGAAAUGCGUAGAUAUGUGGAGGAACACCGAUGGCGAAGGCAGCCCCCUGGGCUAAGAUUGACGCUCAUGCACGAAAGCGUGGGGAGCAAACAGG
rnacentral:rRNA from 1 species